CGCGAACGGCUCAUUAUAACAGCUAUAAUUUACUUGAUCUUGACUUCCUACUUGGAUAACUGUGGUAAUUCUAGAGCUAAUACAUGCACCAAAGCUCCGACCUUACGGGAAGAGCGCAUUUAUUCGAACAAAACCAAGCGGCUUCGGCCGUCCGCAGUUGACUCAGAAUAACUAAGCUGAUCGCAUGGUCUUGAACCGGCGACGUGUCUUUCAAGUAUCUGCCUUAUCAACUUUCGAUGGUAGUGUAUCUGACUACCAUGGUGGUGACGGGUAACGGAGGAUAAGGGUUCGACUCCGGAGAAGGGGCCUGAGAAAUGGCCACUACGUCUAAGGAUGGCAGCAGGCGCGCAAAUUACCCACUCUCAGAAUGAGGAGGUAGUGACGAGAAAUAACGAGACCGUUCUCUACGAGGCCGGUCAUCGGAAUGGGUACAAUUUAAACCCUUUAACGAGUAUCUAUGAGAGGGCAAGUCUGGUGCCAGCAGCCGCGGUAAUUCCAGCU
rnacentral:rRNA from 1 species